CAUAUAAUAUUAUAUGUGUUUUUUUAGACACAUUCUUGGUCACGAAUGAACGUUUGUUUGUUUGA
rnacentral:tRNA from 1 species